CAGAGUCGUGGAAUCAAAAACAUGAGUCACAUAGGAACCCUGCAAUCACCAACUCCUCCUGAAGAAUAACCUGGGCCUGAGAAAGGAGGCUCCCUUCAAGAGGAGAGCUUUCAGCUUCCUGCUCCCACCGCCUGCCCUGCCUGCUGCCAUCUCUCCCUGCUCUUCAGACUUUAACCUUCUAGAACCACAAGUCAGAGUAAACGUCUCUAAGUUGCUUUGGUCACAGUGCUUGAUGGAAGCAACAGAAAAGUAACUAAUAUCUUCUGCCUCCAUGAUACGCUGGUCUACCUCCUAAUUAUGGAAUGAUCUGGAAGAUAGCAGGGGGACAAAUCCAUGAAAUCACACCGGAGUGUUCAAAGUAAGCCUGCACAGUGUCUGUUUACCAUAAGAAGAGUUAGUUGGCUUUGGCCAAGUUGACAGGGGGAUGUGGCAAGAUGGGAGACCCCUAAGGACACUGUGACCCAUACCAAUACUGUUGUGACUUUAGAUUAAGGUCAAUAAAACAGAUACCAUGGAGAACAAUCAA